AGGUAAACUAAAUGCAAAAUUAUUUUCUGGGUUGUUCUAUCGUUAGUUUUAUAAAAUAUAAAUUGAACCUUUUAAAACCCUAACUCUUUCAGCCAUGAACUACCCAAGACAAGUACUCUCCCAAGCCAUCGAUUAUUUCUGCUUGAAUUCGUAUUUUCGAUCUAACAUUUUUUUCAUUUUCACAAGAAGCUUUUGAAAAGAAGAUCAAGAUCAAAAUCAACAAUACGGGUUCAAUUGUAAGUGAAAGUUAGUGACUGAUAUUGGUGUCAGCCUGCUCGAUCGAAAAUUUUAGAAAGAAAUCAAUUUUCUGGCUCUGUCGAUAUUCAUUCAUGAGAACUCUGGCGCCGCUCUCUCUCUCUCUGAACUCCGGUGCCCAUUUCGUUUCAGCCCUCAUUUCAUCCACCUUGAACUCUAACGCCGCUCUCUUUCUCGUCUCAUCGUCGGUCCAUCUCAACCUCAAAAUCACUUGUUCUAUAAAAACAGCAGUGGAAAAGAAAAAAUGAACAGAAUUCUUGAGUGGUUGAGAUUGCCAUUUUUGAUGAUGAGCAUAUUCAAGAGGUGGAUUAUACUGAUAAAUCUCUCACAGGGUGGAUUGAGCUCUGGUUAUAAAAAAUUAUUGCAGAGAAAGGUUUGAGUUUGUUAUGAUUGUUAAACUAGAGUCAAAUACAGUAUGAUAUUAAUUGUAACUCUUUGUACCUCAGUGGCUCAUUGGCUCUA